GGAGGAUCCAAGCGUUAUCCGGAUUUACUGGGCGUAAAGAGUUGCGUAGGUGGUUUGCCAAGUUUCCGUUUAAAUGCCAAGGCUCAACCUUGGAAGUGACGGAAAAACUGGCAAACUCGAGAAUGAGAGAGGUCACUGGAAUUGCUAGUGUAGGAGUGAAAUCCGUAGAUAUUAGCAGGAACACCAAUGGCGUAGGCAGGUGACUGGCUCAUUUCUGACACUGAGGCACGAAAGCGUGGGGAGCGAACGGGAUUAGAUACCCCGGUAGUCCACGCCGUAAACGAUGGAUGCUAGCUGUAAGGAGUAUCGACCCUUCUUGUAGCGAAGCUAACGCGUUAAGCAUCCCGCCUGGGGAGUACGGUCGCAAGRKUA
rnacentral:rRNA from 1 species